GGUUGAUCCUGCCAGUAGUCAUAUGCUUGUGUUAAAGAUUAAGCCAUGCAUGUCUUAGUAUAGGUAGAAAAACCGAAACUGCGGAUGGCUCAUUAAAUCAGUCAUAAUCAAUUUGGUGAUGAAAAUUAAAAGGAUAACCCUGUUAAUUGUAGAGCAAAUACUUGAACUUGAUAUCUGAUCAGCGAGUGGGAUUUUUGGAAGCAAUUUCAAGGAACUCAUUCAAGAGAGGAUAGCAUUUGUCAGCUCGAAAUAGUUAACCAAAUCUCCAUUGAAAACCUUGAGUACCCUGAGG
rnacentral:rRNA from 1 species